rnacentral:tRNA from 1 species
GCCCAGGUGGCGAAAUUGGUAGACGCACCAUCUUGAGGGGGUGGCAAUCGCAAGGUUGUACGAGUUCGAAUCUCGUUCUGGGCAC